rnacentral:rRNA from 1 species
AGCAGCCGCGGUAAUUCCAGCUCCAAUAGCGUAUAUUAAAGUUGCUGCAGUUAAAAAGCUCGUAGUUGAAUUUCGGGACCAAUAUGUCGGUCGUGCCUCGGUACGUACUGGCAUCGUUGGUUUCUCCCUUCUGACGAACCAUGAUGUCAUUUAUUUGGUGUCAUGGGGAAUCAGGACUGUUACUUUGAAAAAAUUAGAGUGUUUAAAGCAGGCUCACGCUUGAAUACAUUAGCAUGGAAUAAUGAAAUAGGACGUUUGAUUCUAUUUUGUUGGUUUCUAGGAUCGACGUAAUGAUUAAUAGGGAUAGUUGGGGGCAUUAGUAUUCAAUUGUUAGAGGUGAAAUUCUUGGAUUUAUUGAAGACUAACUACUGCGAAAGCAUUUGCCAAGGAUGUUUUCAUUAAUCAAGAACGAAAGUUAGGGGAUCGAAGACGAUCAGAUCCCGUCGUAGUCUUAACCAUAAACUAUGCCGACUAGGGAUCGGAUGAUGU